AUUUCUAAAUCGCCGAAACCUCUGUGUGCGGGGGAACCAUCUGGAUUCAAUGGAAUCCAAGGGGUGAAUCCUUUUUUAAAAAAGGUAGGGCUACUCAAUGGCCCGAAUCCGACAGCUAACCUCGUAAGCGUUAUGGAGAAGGAUG
rfam:Bacilli bacterium VT-13-104 contig002, whole genome shotgun sequence.